GAGUUUGAUCGUGGCUCAGAGUGAACGCUGGCGGCAGGCCUAACACAUGCAAGUCGAACGGCAGCACAGUCGUAGCAAUACGAUGGGUGGCGAGUGGCGGACGGGUGAGGAAUACAUCGGAAUCUACCUUGUCGUGGGGGAUAACGUAGGGAAACUUACGCUAAUACCGCAUACGAACUACGGUUGAAAGCGGCGGACCGCAAGGCGUCGCGCGAUUGGAUGAGCCGAUGUCCGAUUAGCUAGUUGGCGGGGUAAAGGCCCACCAAGGCGACGAUCGGUAGCUGGUCUGAGAGGAUGAUCAGCCACACUGGAACUGAGACACGGUCCAGACUCCUACGGGAGGCAGCAGUGGGGAAUAUUGGACAAUGGGCGCAAGCCUGAUCCAGCCAUGCCGCGUGUGUGAAGAAGGCCUCGGUUGUAA
rnacentral:rRNA from 1 species